UUCUUAAUGGAUUUUUAAGUCUAAUAAGGCAUUUAAUUAAAUCAAAACAAAAAGAAAAUUAGAUAACCAUCCUUAAUAGAGAUUUUGGCAACCAAUCAUAAAGGAAGUUCUUAAUACACGUGUCACUGUCAGCAAACUUGUGAAUUAUGGAUUUUUUUUUUCUUUUUUCUUUCUUUCUUUCUUCUCUUCUCUCGCUUUCUCAGUCGUUCCGAUGACUGCUUUUGUGAAGAGAAGUGUCUCCUCCGUGCAAUCGGCUGCUUCUCACCGUGAAGUCAGCCUCCGGCAAGACUUACAGACAGUUAGCGGCGGAGACAGGACUCAAACGCCGCACUUCCUGGGAAUCGGCUGAGAGUCUGAAAGCGAUUGCUACUUCCUUGGAGAAGGGUGUCGUGUCUAUUAAUCAACCAAUUGGUCGUAGAGAUGGACUUGUACUUAACGACCACUGAUGAUGUUGUCCGAACACGAGGUAUUUCUAUUCUCUUUUAAUAUGUAACGGAAAGAGUAAGGGUUUGUCUUUUGUAGGUAUUCUCCUGCUUGCGGUGAUGCUGGACCAUCUAAAGUUGAAGCCUUUGGACAAUGCAGUUGUCCAUAGUCUCAUUGGUUUCUUUACCGCAAAGCUGGCAGAGUGUAGUCUGUGCGGGGUGCACUUACUGGUUGCUAGGCUCUGCUUAAGAGGAAAAACGUAGUAGCCGGUGUGGUCACUGCUAUAAUAGCAGUGCUAUUGAUGCAGAAGCUGUGGCAAAGGAAAUAGCACAGAGUAUUCAAGUGCAGUCUUUAGCACUGCAUCACCGCAAGCUCUGUUUUGAACAAUUGGAGUGCCUUCUAGAGCAAUACCCUGACGCUAUGAUAAAUUUGGGAGAUUUGAUUGUUUAUGCUACAUGCGAAGCCAUCGAUGGAGAAAAAGAAAGAAGAUUGUAGCCACUUUUAAGCAGUGUGCUAGGUAUCUUACUCCUCUCUUCAACUUGUGCAGGAAGAAGUCGUUCCGAUGACUGCUUUUGUGAAGAGAAGUGUCUCCUCCGUGCAAUCGGCGGCUUCUCACAGUGAUUCUUUUAUUAAAACUAACGGAGAGAUUACAAAGAUGAUGUGUAUGAAAUGCAUGAUAAUCCAACCAUUAGGUGCUACCUGCUCAAAUAUUUCAUGCAAUUCAUCAAUGGGAAAAUAUUUCUGCAAAGUAUGCAAAAACUAUUUGACGAUGAAAGAGAAAAAUAUAUCAUUGUUCCUAUUGCAGUCUAUGCCGAGUAGGGAAAAGAUUGGGAUUGAGUACUUCCAUUGCAUGAAAUGCAAUGCUUGUAUGUCAAGGACUUUGGUAGAACAUGUAUGCAUAGAAAAGUGCUUAGAAGAUAAUUGCUCGAUUUGUCAUGAGUACAUUUUUAACUCGAAUUCUCCAGUGAAGGCUCUUCCAUGUGGUCAUGUGAUGCAUUCAACAUGCUUCCAGGAGUACACAUGUUUUCAUUACACAUGCCCUAUUUGCAGCAAGUCACUAGACACUAGGGGAUAUGCAGGUGUACUUUAGAAUGUUAGAUGCACUGCUCUCAGAACAAAAGAUGCCAGAUGAAUACUUAAACCAAACACAGGCAAUACUAUGUAAUGACUGUCGUAGAAAAGGAAACACCCCUUACCAUUGGCUCCAUCACAAGUACUCUUCUUGUGCCUCCUACAACACCAGACUUCUCUAAUGCUUCCAAUUUCCCUCCUUGUAUCAUUGUACAUGAGCAAGUCUUAAGACAAUUUUUGUUUCUUCCUUUUUGAAAGCAUUUGAUUUUGUAUGAAAAAUCAUAAUAUUCGAGAUACAGUAUGUGAAACUCACUUAAUAUCA